rnacentral:rRNA from 1 species
GACAGAGGGUGCAAACGUUGUUCGGAAUUACUGGGCGUAAAGCGUGCGUAGGCGGUCUCGUAAGUCAGGUGUGAAAUCCCAAGGCUCAACCAUGGAAGUGCACUUGAUACUGCGAGGCUUGAGUACUGGAGAGGUUGGUGGAAUUCUUGGUGUAGAGGUGAAAUUCGUAGAUAUCAAGAGGAACACCGGUGGCGAAGGCGGCCAACUGGACAGAUACUGACGCUGAGGCACGAAAGCGCGGGGAGCAAACAGG